UAGGGAAGAACAAGUGCAAGAGUAACUGCUUGCACCUUGACGGUACCUAACCAGAAAGCCACGGCUAACUACGUGCCAGCAGCCGCGGUAAUANGUAGGUGGCAAGCGUUGUCCGGAAUUAUUGGGCGUAAAGGGCUCGCAGGCGGUUUCUUAAGUCUGAUGUGAAAGCCCCCGGCUCAACCGGGGAGGGUCAUUGGAAACUGGGAAACUUGAGUGCAGAAGAGGAGAGUGGAAUUCCACGUGUAGCGGUGAAAUGCGUAGAGAUGUGGAGGAACACCAGUGGCGAAGGCGACUCUCUGGUCUGUAACUGACGNUGAGGAGCGAAAGCGUGGGGAGCGAACAGGAUUAGAUACCCUGGUAGUCCACGCCGUAAACGAUGAGUGNUNAGUGUUAGGGGGUUUCCGCCCCUUAGUGCUGCAGCUAACGCAUUAAGCACUCCGCCUGGGGAGUACGGUCGCAAGANUGAAACUCAAAGGAAUUGACGGGGGCCCGCACCAGCGGUGGAGCAUGUGGUUUAAUUCGAAGCAACGCGAAGAACCUUACCAGGUCUUGACAUCCUCUGACAACCCUAGAGAUAGGGCUUUCCCUUCGGGGACAGAGUGACAG
rnacentral:rRNA from 1 species